GAGCAAGUCGGCAUAAAAGCAAG
rnacentral:misc_RNA from 1 species